GCAGCUGAGCAGUUUAAUUCACUUCAGUUUUAAACCAAACAAAGAUGCUCUCCUCAGUGCUGCUGCUAACAGCUGCAUUCUGUGGUGUUGGAGGUGUGGAGCUCACUCAGCCAGCCUCUGUACUUGUGAAACCUGGAGAGUCGUUCUCUAUCUCUUGCAAGACUUCAGAGUCAAGCUAUUGUAUUGGCUGGAUACGUCAACCUGCUGGGAAAACACUUGAAUGGCUCGGAUAUCUGUGUAGUGGUGGUAGCACUAAUCUCAAAGAUACAAU